GUCUACGGCCAUUCCACCCUGAGCACGCCUGAUCCCAUCUGAUCUUGGAAGCUAAGCAGGGUUGGGCCUGGUUAGCAAUUGGAUGGGAGACCACCUAGGAAGACCAGGUGCUGUAGGCA
rnacentral:rRNA from 1 species